rnacentral:rRNA from 1 species
UACAGAGGGUGCAAGCGUUGCUCGGAAUUAUUGGGCGUAAAGAGCUCGUAGGCGGUGUGUCACGUCGGCCGUGAAAACCUGCAGCUUAACUGUGGGCGUGCGGUCGAUACGGGCAUCACUGGAGUUCGGCAGGGGAGACUGGAAUUCCUGGUGUAGCGGUGAAAUGCGCAGAUAUCAGGAGGAACACCGGUGGCGAAGGCGGCUCACUGGCCCGGUACUGACGCUGAGGUGCGAAAGCGUGGGGAGCAAACAGG